rnacentral:rRNA from 1 species
UGGGGAAUCUUGGACAAUGGGCGCAAGCCUGAUCCAGCCAUGCCGCGUGGAUGAUGAAGGCCUUAGGGUUGUAAAAUCCUUUCGCCGAGGACGAUAAUGACGGUACUCGGAGAAGAAGCUCCGGCUAACUUCGUGCCAGCAGCCGCGGUAAUACGAAGGGGGCUAGCGUUGUUCGGAUUUACUGGGCGUAAAGCGCGUGUAGGCGGGUCGUUAAGUUGGGGGUGAAAUCCCGAGGCUCAACCUCGGAACUGCCUUCAAAACUGGCGACCUGGACCUAAGUAGAGGCAAGUGGAAUUGCGAGUGUAGAGGUGAAAUUCGUAGAUAUUCGCAGGAACACCAGUGGCGAAGGCGACUUGCUGGACUUAUGGUGACGCUGAGACGCGAAAGCGUGGGGAGCAAACAGGAUUAGAUACCCAGGUAGUCCCUGAGCGGGCUGGCAAGGCGCAU